AGAAUCAACGCUGGCGGCGUGCCUAACACAUGCAAGUCGCACGAGAAAGGGGGGCAAUCCCUGAGUAAAGUGGCGCACGGGUGAGUAACACGUGAAUAAUCUACCUCCGAGUGGGGAAUAACUGAGAGAAAUCUUAGCUAAUACCGCAUAACACUUACGAGUCAAAGCAGCAAUGCGCUUGGAGAGGAGUUCGCGGCCGAUUAGUUAGUUGGCGGGGUAAUGGCCCACCAAGACGAUGAUCGGUAUCCGGCCUGAGAGGGCGCACGGACACACUGGAACUGAAACACGGUCCAGACUCCUACGGGAGGCAGCAGUGGGGAAUUUUGCGCAAUGGGGGAAACCCUGACGCAGCAACGCCGCGUGGAGGAUGAAGCCCCUUGGGGUGUAAACUCCUUUCGAUCGGGAAGAUAAUGACGGUACCGAUAUAAGAAGCCCCGGCUAACUUCGUGCCAGCAGCCGC
rnacentral:rRNA from 1 species